rnacentral:rRNA from 1 species
UACGUAGGGACCGAGCGUUGUCCGGAAUCAUUGGGCGUAAAGAGCGUGUAGGCGGCCUUUUAAGUCCUGCGUGAAAUCCUGCGGCUCAACCGCAGACGGUCGUGGGAAACUGGAAGGCUAGAGUGCGGGAGAGGAGAGUGGAAUUCCCGGUGUAGCGGUGAAAUGCGUAGAUAUCUGGAGGAACACCGGUGGCGAAGGCGGCAUCCUGGACCGGUAUUGACGCUGAGGCGCGAAAGCUAGGGGAGCAAACGGG